ACCCCGAAAACGGGUUUGGUAAUCAAACCACGUUUAUAUUAAAAGACGGGUAAUUUACCUUUAGUGGUAAAAGUAACCCGGUGAAUAUUGGGAUUAUUAAACAAACAAGAAUUUACUAACUAGGAAUUUUAACCUAGUUAGCUAAUAGUCUAGAGAUAACUUAUAAUAGGGCUAGAAACAACCAAACUUUAAGUUAUUCAAGAGUGGAGGGGCUUAUCUUGUAAAAUCUGAAACUUCAUUAGAUAAAAAAAAAUAAUUAAGGACCAAACACACAAAAGUGUGUCUGGUCGUAUAUGGGACGCAGGGGGGCGACCAGGAGACCUCACCAAGCCCUAGUUCAUCACUUAAUUCACAAAAUUGAAGGUCCAAAUCUGAUCAAAGUCGAAAAUCAAGAAUAGAUUAUUGAUCCCCAUUGAAAGGGGAGUCAUAAGUUUGACUCUGACAAGCUAGGUAGGAGCUUGGAAAUGAACGGGUCAAAUGGAUACAAGUUCAAGUAUGAAGCUCACAAGGAUGCAAGGUAAGUAUAACUUACACUAGUCAUAUAUUUUAAAAUGUUCUUUUGUCAUAUUGACUACGAAUAAGACAAAUGGUAAUUUAGUCACACGUUGACAAUAAUCGUUAGUUUUAAAAGACGCUUUCCCGCGAAAGACAUAAAGAGCCGAAAGUGGUAAUAAACGGGUUAUAAAUAAAAUGAGCAUACGGUGUUAAAAGGAGCGAGUCAUGUAGAUGAGAUAAUAAUAAAUAUUAUCUCGCAAGGAUAAACGGUCAAUUCGGCCAAACGGGUCAAAAGGUGUAGACAUCACCUUUUGACAAUAUCGACUAAUGAUUCUGGUGUCGAGUUAUAUGUUUACAGGAAUAGAUAUCCAAUGGAUACUCGCAUCGCUCUUAAUUAGCAAUUAUAAAGCAAGGUAUUAAACCGGGUUAGUAAGUUGAUCCGAGCCAGGUAUGUAUAAUAGAUUAACUCAUCAUGUAGAACUUGAAGUUCUAUGAAAGUUAGGCAAAAUAAAAAAAAAAAAAAAAGAGAAGAGCAUUCGGUUACCUUAAUAGGUAAACCGAAGGAUUUAAAUUAUUUAGACAGAAUGUUUUGAAAACAAUAUUUGGUUAAAAAUGAGAAAUUAGAAUCAAACAACAGGUUUGUUGAUAAAAUCACGAACGGGUCAAAUUUGGUAAAAAGGGUUAAUAAGCCGAAGACUUAAAAGUCUUAAACUUUUGUUAAUCCAGAUGUUGGGUCUUGACUCCAUUUGAUGGAGGUUUAAAUUAUAAACAUGUAGGAAGAAACGGUAGGUCAAACGGAUAAGCGGUUUGAAAGAUACGAAAGAUUUCGUGUCAAAUUACGGCAAAAUGGAAAGGCUGAACCCAGUGUCCACCGUAAAUUACGGUCCCACCGUAAUUUACGGUGGAGAUGAUUUGUUUACGGUGAAGGUCUACUGUUUUACGGUAGAAAAGCUUGAACCCAGGUGCCACCGUAAAUUACGGUCCCACAGUAAUUUACGGUGGAGAUAUUUUUUUUAUAUAUAUAUUUUUUUGUUUUUCAUUUGAAAAUCAAUUGUUUCCCGGACAUCGUUCGGACAUGAUUUAAACCCAGUAUGACUAAAGCAUUUCAUGUUUAUGAAAUGUAGGUACACCUUAGAUGCCGGAAGACGAUCAAGCUCAGCGAAGAACCGAACACGAUAAUGAUACACGCUUCCGCAUUUUGCUACGUUGAAAUUUUUAAACAACGAAUUCGAUCACGUUAUGUAGAAUAACUUAUGAUUUAUUAAAAGUUUUAAUAAACCUGUAUUUCCAAAUGUUUAUGUAAUCUUAAUUACAUGAUUGUUUUACGUAAAAUUUACGUUAAACCUUGAAAUAAAAGACCGGGUGUUACAAGUUGGUAUCAGAGCCUUGGUUUAAGAGAUUCGAGUAUGGUGGGGAGGAACCAUGCUUGGACUUAAACCUUAUGCUCUUGACAAAGAAUAGUGUUCGGUUCGAGGCUUGAUCGCAAAUCCGGUAAGUACAAGUACGUGAAUAGUUAGUAUGCUAAAGUGUUGUAAACAACACAUAGGGCUAUCGUGUGAUACGCGUUACCCCAAUUAAAAUGAUUGAAAUAGUUGACGAAAAUACGCGCGUUGACGCGUAUAGUAGAAAAAGCCUUGUAUCAUAAUGCGGGCGAUUAUCGAGGUUGACGUUACUAACUUUUGUGAAUGUUUUAAUUGAAGGACACUCGCGUUUGAAGACGACGAGAGUCAAACGAAUCGUGGAUAUGAUGAUGGAACGGUCCAAAGUAUGACAAGAGGAGCAUACUCACCGAGGACUAAAUCGCGUAAUGACCGCGAACAAAGUUAAUGGCAAGAACGCCCGUCGGGGAAAACAGUACCAGGUUUCGAGAUGAAUGAGCCCGGGGCUAAACGCCUAAAAUUCAACAGGCCAGUUCAAUCGUGUUCUUUAUCUUUCAUUCUACAACCCAAAAUAAUUUCACUUCUUAUGCUAGUAGGGGGAUGGUCUCAUGGGGCAAAACUGUUUAUACAGGUAAACACAUACUAGAAUAUAUGUUUAUUGGUUUCUUUUGCUUCUUAUUUUUUAUUUGUUGCAUUCUACAUAGUUGGGAGGUUUGAUGGUAGUUAUUGGAGUUGAAUUAGAUUACCAUAAACCUUGUUUGGUGUAUCAAAUUUUAUGGUCGAACCGACCAUAAUAAGGCUAAUUAUUUGCAAGAUUCAAUCAUGCACUCCACAUUUUUGAUGAAAUGUCUCAAUGAAUAAUUUCUUUUUGUUUAAUUGUUUCAUAUUAAUUUGCUAAAAGCAUUUUGGUCAAAUUCACAUUGUUUGUAGAUACAACCUGCACAUGAAGUAUGUCAUCUAGCCUAUCGACAUGUUAUAUUGUAAACCGACAUGAUAUUGUAACCAACAUGCUACUUUUUCGUUUCUUUACUAUAUCUUUUUUCAACAAGUAUUGUGAAUGGGUCAGCGGGUUAACGGGUCAGCGGGUGACGGGUCAGUGGGUGAACGGGUCAGUGGGUUAACGGCUCAGCGGGUGAACUGGUCACGGGUCAGUGGGUGGACGGGUCAGCAGGUCAGUGGGUUAACAGCUGAGCAGGUGAACUGGUCAACGGGUCAACUAGCCACUGGGUUAACAGGUCAGCGAGUAAACGAGUCAGCGGGUGAACUGGUUAGCGGGUGAACGGGUCAGCGAGUCUGUCGGUCUGAUUAUAGUUACAAGUGUUUUGUUUUUUUACCUGUGACAAUUUGUGAUCAAACUUAAUUUAUCAUGUCAACUGUUUUUUUGCACAUUUAGGAUAAGAUGAGGUUCUGAAGCGGUUACAUGUCGAACACAUGAUGUGCUUACGCAGGCCUUAGGACGCGGCAUGGGUAGAGAGAUCUAGUCAUUCGAUUCUCUGACUUGGUGAUAUUAUUUACAUAGUUUUUAGAAAAGGGGGAUGACAUCAUCCUAUUGUCCUAUAAUCCCGGGUUCUAUUAUCCAUCAAAAUAACUGUAUGUAAAGAAAGGCCUAUUAUCUUGAUUUGUUUUGACAGAAUUUUGGUUUAUGUUUUUUUGUAGAAAUUAAUGGUGUUGGCAGUAUUAAACCUGAAAACAACUACAUGCUAUUAUCUUGAUUCCCUAAGGCCUAGCAGUAUCAAUGAGCAGUUGAGGAAAAUUAUUGAUAUGUAAGUAAUACAAAUUAUCAUAAGAGUUGGAAAUAUUCUUUGAUAUAUUUUUUAUAGGGUAAUGGUCGUGUUUGCUGCACGAAGUGGUACUAGCAUGAGGGUUAAACUCAACUCGGUCAACGCUAGGUUGUGUAGUGUCCAUGUCAGCGAUGAAGUACUAAAUGUGGCUACUAUGUGAUGAAGUUCAUGAGAGAGAGAGAGCUUGCAAAGGAGUUGAAAUUUUGGAUAAUGACAAUGUUGGGAAAGGAGUAGAAGAAUACUCGGCUGCAUAUAUGGAUGUCAUUCGUGAAGAUUGGUCGACUUAUGCGGUUAACUCUAUUUUUAAGUUAUAAAUCGUAUUUUAGGUGUUGAUAAUGUAUUGCCAAACAAUUCUUUUUUUGUUAACGUUAAAAUAUUUGUAGUAUACUUGACAAAUGAUUAUGUAAUUGAUUGUUUUGGUA